rnacentral:rRNA from 1 species
GACGAACGCUGGCGGCGUGCUUAACACAUGCGAGUCGAACGGAAAGGCCCUGCUUUUGUGGGGUGCUCGAGUGGCGAACGGGUGAGUAACACGUGAGUAACCUGCCCUUGACUUUGGGAUAACUUCAGGAAACUGGGGCUAAUACCGGAUAGGAGCUCCUGCUGCAUGGUGGGGGUUGGAAAGUUUCGGCGGUUGGGGAUGGACUCGCGGCUUAUCAGCUUGUUGGUGGGGUAGUGGCUUACCAAGGCUUUGACGGGUAGCCGGCCUGAGAGGGUGACCGGCCACAUUGGGACUGAGAUACGGCCCAGACUCCUACGGGAGGCAGCAGUGGGGAAUAUUGCACAAUGGGCGGAAGCCUGAUGCAGCAACGCCGCGUGCGGGAUGACGGCCUUCGGGUUGUAAACCGCUUUCGCCUGUGACGAAGCGUGAGUGACGGUAAUGGGGAAAGAAGCACCGGCUAACUACGU